rnacentral:rRNA from 1 species
GCGGCGGACGGGUUAGUAACGCGUGGGAACGUGCCCAGAUCUAAGGAAUAGCCACUGGAAACGGUGAGUAAUACCUUAUACGCCCUUCGGGGGAAAGAUUUAUCGGAUUUGGAUCGGCCCGCGUUAGAUUAGGUAGUUGGUGGGGUAAUGGCCUACCAAGCCUACGAUCUAUAGCUGGUUUUAGAGGAUGAUCAGCAACACUGGGACUGAGACACGGCCCAGACUCCUACGGGAGGCAGCAGUGGGGAAUCUUGGACAAUGGGGGCAACCCUGAUCCAGCCAUGCCGCGUGAGUGAUGAAGGCCUUAGGGUCGUAAAGCUCUUUCGCCUGUGAUGAUAAUGACAGUAGCAGGUAAAGAAACCCCGGCUAACUCCGUGCCAGCAGCCGCGGUAAUACGGAGGGGGUUAGCGUUGUUCGGAAUUACUGGGCGUAAAGCGCGCGUAGGCGGAUUAGUCAGUUAGAGGUGAAAUCCCAGGGCUCAACCCUGGAACUGCCUUUAAUACUGCUAGUCUUGAGUUCGAGAGAGGUGAGUGGAAUUCCGAGUGUAGAGGUGAAAUUCGUAGAUAUUCGGAGGAACACCAGUGGCGAAGGCGGCUCACUGGCUCGAUACUGACGCUGAGGUGCGAAAGUGUGGGGAGCAAACAGGAUU